rnacentral:rRNA from 1 species
AUUGAACGCUGGCGGCAUGCCUUACACAUGCAAGUCGAACGGUAACGCGGGGCAACCUGGCGACGAGUGGCGAACGGGUGAGUAACGUAUCGGAACGUGCCCAGUUGUGGGGGAUAACUGCUCGAAAGAGCAGCUAAUACCGCAUACGACCUGAGGGUGAAAGCGGGGGAUCGCAAGACCUCGCGCAAUUGGAGCGGCCGAUAUCAGAUUAGGUAGUUGGUGGGGUAAAGGCCCACCAAGCCAACGAUCUGUAGCUGGUCUGAGAGGACGACCAGCCACACUGGGACUGAGACACGGCCCAGACUCCUACGGGAGGCAGCAGUGGGGAAUUUUGGACAAUGGACGCAAGUCUGAUCCAGCCAUGCCGCGUGCGGGAAGAGGGCCUUCGGGUUGUAAACCGCUUUUGUCAGGGAAGAAAAGGGCGACUCUAAUACAGUUGCCUCAUGACGGUACCUGAAGAAUAAGCACCGGCUAACUACGUGCCAGCCGCCGCGGUAAUAC